GACGAACGCUGGCGGCGUGCUUAACACAUGCAAGUCGAACGGAAAGGCCCUGCUUUUUUGGGGUGCUCGAGUGGCUAACGGGUGAGUAACACUUGAGUAACCUGCCCUUGACUUUUGGAUAACUUCAGGAAACUGGGGCUAAUACCGGAUAGGAGCUCCUGCUGCAUGGUGGGGGUUGGAAAGUUUCGGCGGUUGGGGAUGGACUCGCGGCUUAUCAGCUUGUUGGUGGGGUAGUGGCUUACCAAGGCUUUGACGGGUAGCCGGCCUGAGAGGGUGACCGGCCACAUUGGGACUGAGAUACGGCCCAGACUCCUACGGGAGGCAGCAGUGGGGAAUAUUGCACAAUGGGCGGAAGCCUGAUGCAGCAACGCCGCGUGCGGGAUGACGGCCUUCGGGUUGUAAACCGCUUUCGCCUGUGACGAAGCGUGAGUGACGGUAAUGGGUAAAGAAGCACCGGCUAACUACGUG
rnacentral:rRNA from 1 species